GAUUCCGUAGCUCAGCUGGUAGAGCAACGCCCUUUUAAGGCGUGGGUCCUGGGUUCGAGCCCCAGCGGGAUCA
rnacentral:tRNA from 1 species